rnacentral:rRNA from 1 species
UACGGAGGAUGCAAGCGUUAUCCGGAAUGAUUGGGCGUAAAGCGUCCGCAGGUGGCAAUGUAAGUCUGCUGUUAAAGAGUCUAGCUCAACUAGAUAAAAGCAGUGGAAACUACAUAGCUAGAGUACGUUCGGGGCAGAGGGAAUUCCUGGUGUAGCGGUGAAAUGCGUAGAUAUCUGGAGGAACACCGGUGGCGAAGGCGGCAUCCUGGACCAACACUGACGCUGAGGAGCGAAAGCCAGGGGAGCAAACGGG